AUCUGUCACAAACCCACCACCGUGAACCCACAAAUCUGUCACAAACCCACCACCGUCAACCCACCAUCACCGAUCAUCACAAACCCACCAUCGUGAACCCAUAGAUUUGUCACAAACCCACCACCAUGAACCCACAGAUCUGUCACAAACCCACCACCGUCAACCCACCAUCACCGAUCAUCACAAACCCACCAUCGUGAACCCACAGAUCUGUCACAAACCCACCACCAUGAAUCCACCGUUACCGAUUAUCACAAACCCACCACCGUGAACCCAUAGAUAUGUCACAAACACACCACCGUGAACCCAUCGUCACCGAUCAUCAUAAACCCACCACCGUGAACCCACAGAUCUGUCACAAACCCAUCACCGUGAACCCAACGUCACCGAUCGUCACAAACCCACCACCGUGAACCCACCGACAUCACAAAUCUGUCCAUAGGGAAAGAUGUUUUUGAUUUUUUGUUUUGUUUGGCAGGUUUUUAAAUCUCGUCUACAUGCAUGAAUUUGUGAUUGUGUUUGAUGUUUAUUUGUCUCAGGGAAGGGAAAGAGACCCGCGAAGUACCCAAAUCCAGUUUGUGAGCUUCCAUUACCUAUUUGUUUUCAAGACACCAAGACGCAAUUUUCCUCAUUUUUUAUUUUAUUGGAAAUAAUUUGUUUUAGUACUGUUUUUUUUUUUUUUUUCAUUAAUCCUUUUAAUUUGGACUUCAAUAAUGCAUUUUAUAAUUGGUUGACUCAAACUGAUAUUUGCACAUGAGCUACUUGGAUCUGUGGAUUUGUUUAUGGGGUUUAAUGGUUGUAGCAUGUGCUAUGUUGCUUACAAUGUUUAGCACAUGUGUCAAAAUAUUGUGCAGUUUCAUAUGUUCUGUAUGUAACAUGCUGUAUGUAAUGGACAAAUUUUGGGAGUAAAAAAUUAUUGGAUUAUUAGAAAUAUUUUUUUUCGAAUUUCACUAACUGAUAUAUUUGUUCUGUAGAUUUGACAUCGUUCUUUAAUCGUAACAACAAAUUACGCUCAUAUGCAUAGAUGUCAGUAUAAUUUGUCUCGACGUCGCAUGAUCGAUUACUACUUGCAGCAGAGGAGAAAGUUUCGACGUUUUUCCAGACUUGGAGUUCGUCAUACACCCUGUUGGUCGACAUUGUCUGUAUCUUCUCCUGCAUUGACGUCUUCAAGCAGUGUCGGAUCGAACAAGAUGAGUGAUUCUGUGGCCUGGUCCGUUGAGAUGACCCAUAAAUUUCUGGUGCUGUUGUUUGAGCGGGCCAAAACUUUGCACGAUACUUCAAUAAAAACAACAGAUUACCAGGAAAUGUUGGAUGACAUAUCACCAGUGGCUGGCAGGAGACUCAACGUCACACAACUAACCUCUAAGUUCUUUUGCCUACGAAGAGUAUAUCAAGCAUAGCAGAAAUUGCUGCAACACGCAGGGUUCGGGUGGGACCAUGAGUCGUAAAGUCCAACGUGUCCCGUAGAGGUUUGGCAAGAAUAUGUCAAGGUUUAAAUGACGUCGUCUAGCCGUAUAGGAAGAAGAUGACGUGCUACAGAUGACGAAGAAGAAAUACUGAUAGAAGCAACUGGGCGUCAACUAUGACAUACAUCCGUAUUAACUGGUCAUGAGUACAUGUUGGAAGUACUCAAUGGUCAUCCUGACAGGAUCUAUGACAAGUGCCGCAUGGACAAAGACUGUUUUACAUUCUUAUGUGAAAUUUUGUCCGAUUAAGGCAAAUUGUGACCAACCAGGAAGACAAGUUUGGAAGAACAAGUUAUGAUAUUUCUAACAAUUGUUAGAAAAAACGAGACAAUCAGAACGAUGAUGGAGGAUUUCCAACAUUUGGGUGAGACGAUCUCUAGACAUGUUGGCAUAGUUUGCGAGGCUAUAUAUGAGUUGAAGACAGAAUUUAUCAGGCCACCUGACUUCAAUGAUGUUCCAUGAGAAAUAUUAGCCACCAGAAAAUAUUACUCUUUCUUUAAGGACUGUAUUGGAGCCAUUGAUGACACACAUGUAUACGCUUUGGUUCCACAUGAAUUUGCUGAUAGGUACCAGAAUCGCAAAGGAACAUUGUCACAGAAUGUAAUGGUUGUAUGCGACUUUAGGAUGAUGUUCACUUAUGUCGUAACUGGAUGGCAAGGAUCUACAUAUGAUUCAAGAGUUUUAAAUUCAAUUCUUGAUGAUCCUAAUUCUGGAUUCCUACAUCCUCCAUCAGGUAUAAGUAUUUUCUUGACGUAUUAUAGCAUAUUUGCUCCACUGUUAAGGCCCUGUAAUUCAAAUAAAAUGUCUGAUAUUAUUACAAGGAAAUACUAUUUGGUUGAUGCGGGUUAUCCAAAUAGAAAUGGGUUCCUCGCCUCUCAUAGGCGAGUGACUUACCAUAUUUCUGAUCAUCGCCGUAACCGAAGGGGGCCAUAAGAGUUGUUUAACUACAAACAUGUUUCACUCCGCAAUGUUGUCGCGAGAACCUUCGGUGUUUUGAAAAGAUGGUUAAGUAUUCUGAAUGGAAUGAACAAUUACCCGUUGGACAAACAAGGGAAGAUUGUUAUGGCAUAUUGUGUACUUCAUAAUUUUAUCAGAAUGUAUAAUAUGGACGACUUUAUCUUCGAACAAACCAAUAAUAGUAUGGGUAAUGAACAAGUAUAUUGUGAUCGUCAAAACGGGGCAGAAUAUGGCCGAAAUGGAGAAGGACCAAGCCAACCACAACAAGGUAUUAUAGACAACAUGACGACUGUAUGGGGUAACAUAACGAAUUCACUGUAGGCAGCACAGUAGACCAUGUCGUAGUUGUUAAUGGAAUAUACAUGUAAGAAUGAU